rnacentral:rRNA from 1 species
CGUAGGGGCCUAGCGUUGUCCGGAUUUAUUGGGCGUAAAGAGCUCGUAGGCGGUUCGGUAAGUCAGGUGUGAAAUCUCCACGCUCAACGUGGAGGCGCCACCUGAAACUGCCGUGACUCGAGUCCGGUAGGGGAGUGUGGAAUUCCCGGUGUAGCGGUGAAAUGCGCAGAUAUCGGGAGGAACACCAGUGGCGAAGGCGGCACUCUGGGCCGGUACUGACGCUGAGGAGCGAAAGCGUGGGGAGCGAACAGGAUUAGAUACCCUGGUAGUCCACGCCGUAAACGUUGGGCACUAGGUGUGGGACUCUAUCGACGGGUUCCGUGCCGUAGCUAACGCAUUAAGUGCCCCGCCUGGGGAGUACGGCCGCAAGGCUA